rnacentral:rRNA from 1 species
CCUACGGGAGGCAGCAGUGGGGAAUCUUGCSCAAUGGGCGAAAGCCUGAMGCAGYCAUGCCGCGUGAAUGAUGAAGGUGUUAGGAUUGUAAAAUUCUUUCACCGGGGAGGAUAAUGACGGUA